rnacentral:rRNA from 1 species
AAUGAACGUUGGCGGCGUGGAUUAGGCAUGCAAGUCGCGCGACAAGGAACCUUCGGGUUCUGGAGGAGCGGCAAACGGGGUAGUAAGGCAUCGGAACGUACCCUCUUGUUGGGAAUAGCCGCGGGAAACUGCGAGUAAUGCCCAAUAAUCCCUACGGGGCAAAGGUCCGCCGCAGGAGGAGCGGCCGAUGUGAUACCAGCUAGUUGGUGAGGUAAUGGCUCACCAAGGCUUAGACGUCUAGGGGGUGUGAGAGCAUGGCCCCCACCACUGGGACGUNAGAUACUGCCCACGANACCUACGGUGGGCUGCAGUCGAGAAU